rnacentral:rRNA from 1 species
UACGUAGGUGACCAGCGUUGUCCGGAUUUACUGGGCGUAAAGAGCGCGCAGGCGGUCGUUCAAGUCGAGUGUGAAAGCCCCCGGCUCAACUGGGGAGGGUCAUUCGAUACUGAUCGACUCGAAGGCAGGAGAGGGAAGCGGAAUUCCCGGUGUAGAGGUGAAAUUCGUAGAUAUUCGCAAGAACACCAGUGGCGAAGGCGGCUCACUGGCCCGGUACUGACGCUGAGGCACGAAAGCGUGGGGAGCAAACAGG